CGACCCGCCACCGUCGUGCUCCAUCUUCAACCAACCACCGGCCGUUCUCCGUCGUUCAUCCAGUUCCUGCCGUUCUCCGUCGUUCUUCCAGUUCCAGCCGUCUUCCAGUUCCGGCGACCAUUUUCACACGAGCCCGCCACCGUCGUUCUCCAUCUCCAGCCAAAACCCAACCACCAUGUGAUCUCCAUCUCCCGCCGUCUUUCAUCUCCAACAAAGAGACCGCCGACGAGGUCCCCACUUCCGGCCCAGAUUUCCCCCAUUUCUAGCUCUGAAACUUUUAGAUGGACUUAUCACAACUGGACUUGAUUUCACAAUGCGAAGAUAAUUGUUCAUUGACACAUAUUGAACUUGAUGAUGUUGUGCCCAUCGAAAUGGACCCUCAAAAUGACGUUCGGGAAUUCACAGUCAUCAUGUAUUUUAGAAGGAGAUUUUAUAUACUUGUCGUAAGUGGAGGAAAAGAGGUGGGUGAUGAGUGUAAUGGAAUUUGAAUCAGAUUUGUUUCUUGCCCUGGAUAAAGAUAUGAAUGGAACAUUGAGCAAGCAGGAGCUUCAACACCAGUUUCUACAUUAUUUUCCUACUUUUUCUAUGUAAAUUUGGAUUCAACUUUUUCAGUCUUUUUGUAGUAAAUUAUCUUAUGGAUAGCUCAGUUUUUCACGGACACUUGAGUUACUCUAUGUUCCAUGCACAUAGAGAUAUUCCAUGCACAAAAACCAUGUCUUCAUCUUGCAAUUGACAUGACUUUGCUUAAGAAUGGCGUGCCCCAGGGUGUAGAAAAUAGCCAUGAUGGAGAUUUUUUUUAUCUUCAUCUAACAAUAGACAUGAUUAUGCUUAAGAAUGCCGU